GGCCUCCUAGUGCUCACCACAGGACAUAUUCUUACACUAACUGUAUGGAAAGAGGAGGGAAAGUAAUUCACCCAUAUACACCUUAGCCCAAGCCCUAUGCCUGCUUUGUGUUCUGAAUGGGAAGACAUGG
rnacentral:snoRNA from 1 species